rnacentral:rRNA from 1 species
UACGUAGGGUGCAAGCGUUGUCCGGAAUUAUUGGGCGUAAAGAGCUCGUAGGCGGUUCGUCGCGUCGGCUGUGAAAACCCGGAGCUCAACUCCGGGCCUGCAGUCGAUACGGGCGGACUCGAGUUCGGCAGGGGAGACUGGAAUUCCUGGUGUAGCGGUGAAAUGCGCAGAUAUCAGGAGGAACACCGGUGGCGAAGGCGGGUCUCUGGGCCGAUACUGACACUGAGGAGCGAAAGCGUGGGGAGCGAACAGG